UACAGAGGUCUUAAGCGUUGUUCGGAUUCAUUGGGCGUAAAGGGUGCGUAGGUGGCUCGCUAAGUCAGGUGUGAAAUUUCGGAGCUUAACUCCGAAACUGCAUUUGAUACUGGCGUGCUUGAGGACUGGAGAGGAGACUGGAAUUUACGGUGUAGCGGUGAAAUGCGUAGAUAUCGUAAGGAAGACCAGUGGCGAAGGCGGGUCUCUGGACAGUUCCUGACGCUGAGGCACGAAGGUCAGGGGAGCAAACGGG
rnacentral:rRNA from 1 species